rnacentral:lncRNA from 1 species
GGUAAUUACUAAUAGUCAUCUUGCGUGAGACGCAGGGCAGGGCCUCCCGAAGCACUUUUGCUACAUAUCAGGGAACACAGAUAAAGACUGAGCUGGGGGCCCUGGAUUGGACCUUGGAUGGAGCUUCCUUUCUGACAGGAUAGCAGCACUGUCCACAGGACUCCGAUACUUGAGAGCUAGGGACCCACAAGGGGCGCCUGGCUGCGAGGCUGAGCUGCACAGUCCCCGCCCUAGGACUGGGAAGAGCGCAGAAAAUCAGCACCUCAGCUUAGGUCUGGGUUGUCCUAGGUCCCGGUCCUCCCCUGGAGCCUUCCCUUCCUCCUUCGGCCUCCCCACAGGCCAGGCUCACCUACAGACCGGUGAGACACCCCCACAGCCAAGAGUCGACCAGAACCACACAGACCGCCCGCCCAUGCACUUCCGCUUCCGGUCUCGCGGCCUCUGGGAGCGGAAGUGGCUAGGACUCCGGCUCUCGGGACCGGAGAUCCGGGACUCCUCCUUAGUCGGGGAAAGACUGAGCCGCCUCAGACUUUCAGUCUCUGAAGAGAAAUUCUCGUUUCCUUCUCCAGGAAUUGAGGUCACGGCUAUUGCCAUUGUGCUGAGGUUCCUGAUUGCUGUUACUUGUGCUUUAAUAAUUUUUUUUGGCUGUGAAAACCUGAAGAAAGAUGGACCAGUAUGAUAAGUCCAGUAUUUUGAGGGACAAAGAGUGCAUUUAUGAUGAGCUGCCACCCAGUAUUGAAAAAUGGGUAAGUAUAAAAAAACCACUUCCGCUCUUAUGAAAUCCCUAGUUUUCUGUACCUCAGUUUUUGGUGCAUUAUUAAGUCUGUGCUUAGAAUUAUUGACUGUGUAUGUUGCAAAAGUUCUUUUUAGUUUUUACUCUGAAUUUUAAGAGUGUGGGAUAGAGGGUAAAAAUCAAGUUUCCUUUUCCUUAAGGAGUGGAUCUGGGCUCUGAAAACAAAGGCUUCCAGAGAAAUCAUGCAGAAAGAGGUUGGCAUUUGCAAAAUAAAACAACUGCUUUCCCCUGCCUUCUUUGAUUUUUUUUUUCCUUUGAUUUUUCUGUUUAUCAUUUUAGAGGAAACAAUUGUCCAGGGUGCUGUGUUGGAUCAAGGGAUGUAUUUGGGAAUGAUAGUGGAUUUCAGCCUUUUAACUUUGUUACAUGGAUGACACCAUGGCAAACCACAGUGACUGAUUCUGCGUUAACAGUUACAUAUGAGUACUAUUUCACUGAAGUGGAAGAGAGUGAUUAGAGAAGUUUUUGGUUUUGGUUUUGGUAUAUACUAGUAGCCUCACCAGGCUUCCUCUGUUGUGUGAUUUGCUGGAAGCCCAGAGAAGUCCCUCACCUCCCAAAUGAGUAUUACUAAAUGUUCUUUAGUGGUAUUUGGAGUGAAAUUUUGUUUUUGUUAGGAUGCUGUUUAGAAGGAACCUUUUCUUCCAUGCUUGAUGUAUAAUGUUGGCUUUUCUACUUCUAAUGGAAGCAUUGUAUUAGGGAGGUGGAAUAUGAGGGUUUGAAUUAUAGCUUCAUUACUUUCAUUGUGACUUUAGGCAAAUGAAUUCUAAUAUCUUUAAACAAAAUGUAAAGGAGGUUUGGUUGGAGAGAAUGUCUGAUAUAGGUGUAAAAUCACUGAUUUCAGUAGUCACAGGAAAGGAGAUUAAGCUUUGGACCUUAGUUUCCUUGUCUAUAAAAUCAGGCAGUAUUAUUUUCUCUGUCUCUCAAGACUAUUCACAGAUAUACCUGAGAAAAUAUAUGAGGCCAGUAAAAGUAUAGAAUAAUAAUUAUUCGUACAGUAUUUGUAGUAAUAAGCUUGAAUAAGGGUGCCUGUGUGAGAGUAUCUAAAAUGUAAGGACCAACAUAUAACAUUGUUUGCAUAUAAAACUGGCUUAGCCUUACCCUUUCUGCUGCAAGCUUACAGUAAAAACAUGUUUUCUUCAGGGUUGCAGCAGGGAGGCUGUACAUGUCUUCUUUUCUUGCAUACAGAUGUACACAAAGGGAGAUAAGUGUUCCAGGCUCCUGGGAGAGGAGAAUGCUAAUAAUCAGCAUUAGACAUAUGAUGAACUUGAAUAGCUUUUUUAUUUUCAACUCUACAGGCAUUCUUAAGUAUGGCUCUCUUGUCUGUAGACUAUUGGUAUACCUGGCUCUCAGUCUAGGAAAGACUAUGCAGGUCCUCCACGGGACAAAAUGAACCUGACAUGAAAGCUCCUUGUCUGACUUUCAGAUACACUUAGGUGGUCCAAUAGGCCCUAACUGUGCCAGCACCACUCCAAGUGGAGAGAACUGGGAGGAUAGACCAGGUUAUCCUAGGAGCCAGAGCAGAGAGUCCUAUUGAAGGAUAUUAACCUGUUGCUCCCACAUGCUUGAGGCGUUUCUCCAUAUCAUUUGCCAGGAAUAAAAAACUCUUAGGAGGAUGGUAUUCUUGUGCUCUGACCUACACAAGACCAAGAAUUAUAAUUUAGUAACAUUUUAGAAUUUUUUAGGUACACUUACAGAUCUGUAAACAAUUUUGAGUAUAAUGUGCAAAAAUUAAUGUCUAUUUUGACAACUAAGGACAUACACUUUUAAGCAAGGUUGUCUCUUAUGGACCAGUGACUAUUAGCAAUACAGCCAGUAGUCAUUUAACAAAACAAUUUCUUAACUUUAGCAUAUUAAGACAGCAAUAAUGAAUGAGUGAAUUAUACCAGAAUUACAUUUUUAAAAUAAGGAAAAUUGCAUAAUACUAGUUUCUGCAGCCACAGUUGCAAAACAAGACUUUAAGUAAGAUUUCAACACAGCCACAACUCAUCAGACUCAGUGUAAGUAAUUGAUAUCACCAAGAUUGAUCCUGGCCAGUGUAAAUAAUUUAUAUAACCAAGGUUAUUACUGGCACGUGGCCCUUAUUGUGUAUUUUGGGAUAAGUGCAGACUGCCAUGAGAGCUGGUAGGAGACUAAGCAGCCGAGGACUGCUGUGAGAAUAGGCUGGCUUAGAUAUCUAAAUAUAUACAUACAUAUAUAUAUAUUUCCUAAGGCUUAAACUUUUUUUUUACAAUCAUCAUUUUUUAAAAAAUUAAUUUUAUUGGUACAUUUUAGGUAUACAAUAUAAUGACAUUCAUCACUGGAAAUUUGCACCUUUACAUAAGCUCUCUUGGUUCUUAUUUUUUCCCCCUUCCCCUGCCCUCCCUUCAACCCCUC